rnacentral:rRNA from 1 species
GACAGAGGGUGCAAACGUUGUUCGGAAUUACUGGGCGUAAAGCGUGUGUAGGUGGCUGCGUAAGUCGGAUGUGAAAGCCCUGGGCUCAACUCAGGAAGUGCACUCGAUACUGCGUAGCUCGAGUACCGGAGAGGUUGGUGGAAUUCUCGGUGUAGAGGUGAAAUUCGUAGAUAUCGAGAGGAACACCUGUGGCGAAGGCGGCCAACUGGACGAGUACUGACACUGAGACACGAAAGCGUGGGGGGCAAACAGG